UACGAAGGGGGGCUAGCGUUGCUCGGAAUCACUGGGCGUAAAGGGUGCGUAGGCGGGUCUUUAAGUCAGGGGUGAAAUCCUGGAGCUCAACUCCAGAACUGCCUUUGAUACUGAGGAUCUUGAGUUCGGGAGAGGUGAGUGGAACUGCGAGUGUAGAGGUGAAAAUUCGUAGAUAUUCGCAAGGACACCGGUGGCGAAGGCGACAUCCUGGACCGGUAUUGACGCUGAGGCGCGAAAGCCAGGGGAGCAAAGCGGG
rnacentral:rRNA from 1 species